UACGGGAGGCAGCAGUGGGGAAUUUUGGACAAUGGGGGCAACCCUGAUCCAGCCAUGCCGCGUGCGGGAAGAAGGCCUUCGGGUUGUAAACCGCUUUUAGUCGGGAAGAAAAGGCACGUCCUAAUACGACAUGUUCUUGACGGUACCGGCGGAAUAAGCACCGGCUAACUACGUGCCAGCAGCCGCGGUAAUACGUAGGGUGCGAGCGUUAAUCGGAAUUACUGGGCGUAAAGCGUGCGCAGGCGGUUCGUUAAGUCUGAUGUGAAAGCCCCGGGCUCAACCUGGGAAUGGCAUUGGAAACUGGCGGGCUGGAGUGUGGCAGAGGGGGGUGGAAUUCCGCGUGUAGCAGUGAAAUGCGUAGAGAUGCGGAGGAACACCGAUGGCGAAGGCAGCCCCCUGGGCCGACACUGACGCUCAGGCACGAAAGCGUGGGGAGCAAACAGGAUUAGAUACCCUGGUAGUCCACGCCCUAAACGAUGUCGACUGGGUGUUGGGAGAGAGAUCUCUUGGUACCGUAGCUAACGCGUGAAGUCGACCGCCUGGGGAGUACGGCCGCAAGGUUAAAACUCAAAGGAAUUGACGGGGA
rnacentral:rRNA from 1 species